rnacentral:rRNA from 1 species
CAAUAGCGUAUAUUAAAGUUGUUGCAGUUAAAAAGCUCGUAGUUGGAUUUGUGGUGUACUUCGGCGGCCCGUCACUAUGUGAUGGAGCUUGCUGAAGUCGCCAUCCUUGGGUGGAUCCUGUGUGGCAUUAAGUUGUCGUGCAGGGGAUGCCCAUCGUUUACUGUGAAAAAAUUAGAGUGUUCAAAGCAGGCUUAUGCCGUUGAAUAUAUUAGCAUGGAAUAAUAAGAUAGGACCUUGGUACUAUUUUGUUGGUUUGCGCAUCAAGGUAAUGAUUAAUAGGGACAGUUGGGGGUAUUCGUAUUUCAUUGUCAGAGGUGAAAUUCUUGGAUUUUUGAAAGACGAACUACUGCGAAAGCAUUUACCAAGGAUGUUUNCAUUA